AAGAGAAAACUGCCCUCUGGGUAGAUCUCCCACCCUAUGUUUAUAUUACCUUUGUUGCUUUGGCAGGCCCGUCUUCUGACCACCGGCUCUGGCUGGUCCGUGCCUGCCAGAGGACCACAAACUCUUGAAUUUCAAGUUGUCUGAGUCAUAUAUAAUAUAGUAA
rnacentral:misc_RNA from 1 species